rnacentral:rRNA from 1 species
GAACGAAAGUUAGGGGAUCAAAGAUGAUCAGAUACCGUCGUAGUCUUAACCGUAAACUAUGCCGACUGAGAAUGGGUACCGCUUAUACGGUAUCCGCGCUCUACGAGAAAUCAAAGUGAUCAGGUUCUGGGGGGAGUAUGGUCGCAAGGCUGAAACUUAAAGGAAUUGACGGAAGGGCACCACCAGGAGUGGAGCCUGCGGCUUAAUUUGACUCAACACGGGGAAACUCACCAGGUCCAGACACAAUAAGGAUUGACAGAUUGAUAGCUCUUUCUUGAUUUUGUGGGUGGUGGUGCAUGGCCGUUCUUAGUUGGUGGAGUGAUUUGUCUGCUUAAUUGCGAUAACGAACGAGACCUUGACCUACUAAAUAGCUCUACUUGCGAUUGCAGGUAGCUAGCUUCUUAGAGGGACUAUCUAUUACAAGUAGAUGGAAGUUCGAGGCAAUAACAGGUCUGUGAUGCCCUUAGACGUUCUGGGCCGCACGCGCGCUACACUGACGGAGCCAGCGAGUCGACCAAGCCCGAGAGGGCUAGGUAAUCUUGUGAAACUCCGUCGUGCUGGGGAUAGAGCAUUGCAAUUAUUGCUCUUCAACGAGGAAUUCCUAGUAAGCGCAAGUCAUCAGCUUGCGUUGAUUACGUCCCUGCCCUUUG